UAUUACUCACUAAUGGUGUGUCGUAAUGGUACUAAAAACCAUUUUUGAUUUUUCGUUUUCAGUAUAUCUGGAAUUUCUUUUAAGUCAAGUGUUACAUCAAUUUCCCUUAUUUUAGUUGCAACAAAAGUGAAAUAUUUAGCUGAUUCAUAGGGAGUUCGAAAGGCAGGAUACACCUGAUCAAACUUUGGGCCAAAUAUUUUGAAAAUGUUUCUGCCCUGAGGAUCUUGUGAGAUAU